CCUCAGCCGGCAGCCCUGAGCCCUUGGGCUGCAGGGGCCUGGAGCCCCCAAGCCGGCAGCACAAGCAGGAUGCCCUCUCGGUGCCCAAGCCCUGCAAGCUGGCCUGUGCCACACAGGCACCCUCUGUGUCCAGGCUCCCUGUGGUCUCCAGAGCCUCUGCCCUGAAGCAGAAGGCAGCUGAGAGAGCCCUUUGCCCCCCCGGGGGUGGGCAGUGGA